rnacentral:misc_RNA from 1 species
GACUUGCAGCGAACAAAUUCUGUCACUGUUACUGUGAACAAUCUUCUCCAGAUGUGAAAUGAGUAAUGUUAUGACAUGGUUUAAUGUCUCCAAGUAAUCAAACCUGUCUUGUGCACACCAAAUAUCGGAAGGCUUGGAGCUGUGCACUAAUUGAGCUUGUUCAAUUACACCCCCAACACUUUUCUCGUCAUCUCAUUUUUGCCUUUUUUCAAAUAUCUACAAGCUUCAUUCUGUGUAUAUAUCAAGUCGGUUUUAUUUUAUAAAAGAAGGGAAAAGGCACAUUAUUACCGUUUUGAGUUUGGUUUUCCAUGGAAAAAAUAAAGUUGGGCCGUACACAUAGAUAGACAGCUCGGCCUUGCAUUGUGAUUUUGAGCUAACCACUGUGUUUGCUUCAUUGUCCAAGCAUGACAGGGACGAAGCUUUGCUUUCUAUUUCUGAAUAUAUAGUGUACAAUAAUGAAUGAAUUGUUUGUAAUGCUAAGAUGCUCAAGUAGCUCUUGUUAGAUUCUGAGGGAACUAAUGAAGCUAUUUGUGGAGGACCUCAACAAUGCUU